AAACCUCUUUUCAGCAGGGAAGAAGCGAAAGUGACGGUACCUGCAGAAGAAGCACCGGCUAACUACGUGCCAGCAGCCGCCGGUAAUACGUAGGGUGCGAGCGUUAUCCGGAAUUAUUGGGCGUAAAGAGCUCGUAGGCGGUUUGUCACGUCUGUCGUGAAAGUCCGGGGCUUAACCCCGGAUCUGCGGUGGGUACGGGCAGACUAGAGUGCAGUAGGGGAGACUGGAAUUCCUGGUGUAGCGGUGGAAUGCGCAGAUAUCAGGAGGAACACCGAUGGCGAAGGCAGGUCUCUGGGCUGUAACUGACGCUGAGGAGCGAAAGCAUGGGGAGCGAACAGGAUUAGAUACCCUGGUAGUCCAUGCCGUAAACGUUGGGCACUAGGUGUGGGGACCAUUCCACGGUUUCCGCGCCGCAGCUAACGCAUUAAGUGCCCCGCCUGGGGAGUACGGCCGCAAGGCUAAAACUCAAAGGAAUUGACGGGGGCCCGCACAAGCGGCGGAGCAUGCGGAUUAAUUCGAUGCAACGCGAAGAACCUUACCAAGGCUUGACAUGUUUUCGACCGCCGUGGAGACACGGUUUCCCCUUUGGGGCGGAUUCACAGGUGGUGCAUGGUUGUCGUCAGCUCGUGUCGUGAGAUGUUGGGUUAAGUCCCGCAACGAGCGCAACCCUCGUUCCAUGUUGCCAGCACGUAGUGGUGGGGACUCAUGGGAGACUGCCGGGGUCAACUCGGAGGAAGGUGAGGACGACGUCAAAUCAUCAUGCCCCUUAUGUCUUGGGCUUCACGCAUGCUACAAUGGCCGGUACAAUGGGUUGCGAUACUGUGAGGUGGAGCUAAUCCCAAAAAGCCGGUCUCAGUUCGGAUUGGGGUCUGCAACUCGACCCCAUGAAGUCGGAGUCGCUAGUAAUCGCAGAUCAGCAACGCUGCGGUGAAUACGUUCCCGGGCCUUGUACACACCGCCCGUCAAGUCACGAAAGUCGGUAACACCCGAAGCCGGUGGCCUAACCC
rnacentral:rRNA from 1 species